UAAUCAAACUUGUGCGUGAUUUAUUUUCUAAUUGAAAAUACGUUAAAGACAAAAAAAAUUGUAAAUUUUUUAGCAACAUUAUCUCUCCGGUUGUAUAUAUAAAACUAAAUUGAUCCAUUGCUACCAAUAACAUAUGUAUACUCAAAGCAAGAUAAAAUGG